GUAAUUGAUGAACUAUUGGAUGAGUUGCAUGGAGCACAAUGGUUUGCCAAACUUGAUCUUAGAGCUGGAUAUCACCAGAUAAGAUUAGCUCCUCGUGAAGAAUAUAAAACCGCAUUUCAGACACACCAUGGUCAUUUUGAGUUUUUGGUGAUGGGAUUUUGUCUCACUAGCGCCCAUAAUACAUUCCAAGGAGCAAUGAACGUUUCCAUGUCACAAGAACCUGAGAUGCUUAGGCAUUUUGUGCUGGUAUUCUUUGAUGAUAUUUUGGUUUUCAGCAAGACCCUCAAGCAACAUCUAUUGCAUGUUAGGAAGCUGUUGCAAGUACUACAAGGAGACAAGUGGUAUGCCAAAUUGUCCAAAUGUGAAUUUUUCUCC
rnacentral:rRNA from 1 species